GUCUCCGUGGCGCAACUGGUUAGCGCGGUACGCAUUUUCACCCCUUAUUUUAUCUUUAAACACUAACAUGAUUUAGUUGGACUGUUAAUCCAGAGGUUGACAGUUCAAGCCUGUCCGGGGACG
rnacentral:tRNA from 1 species